GACGUAGGGCGCGGGCGUUGUCCGGAUUUAUUGGGCGUAAAGAGCUCGUAGGCGGCUUGUCGCGUCGAAUGUGAAAUCUCAGGGCUCAACUCUGACAUUGCAUUCGAUACGGGCAGGCUAGAGUUCGGUAGGGGAGACUGGAAUUCCUGGUGUAGCGGUGAAAUGCGCAGAUAUCAGGAGGAACACCGGUGGCGAAGGCGGGUCUCUGGGCCGAUACUGACGCUGAGGAGCGAAAGCGUGGGGAGCGAACAGG
rnacentral:rRNA from 1 species